AACGAACGCUGGCGGCAUGCCUAACACAUGCAAGUCGAACGAGACCUUCGGGUCUAGUGGCGCACGGGUGCGUAACGCGUGGGAACCUGCCCUUAGGUGCGGAAUAACUCCCCGAAAGGGGUGCUAAUACCGGAUAAUGUCGUCGGACCAAAGAUUUAUCGCCUUUGGAUGGGCCCGCGUUGGAUUAGCUAGUUGGUAGGGUAAAAGCCUACCAAGGCGACGAUCCAUGGCUGGUCUGAGAGGAUGAUCAGCCACACUGGGACUGAGACACGGCCCAGACUCCUACGGGAGGCAGCAGUGGGGAAUAUUGGACGAUGGGCGAAAGCCUGAUCCAGCAAUGCCGCGUGAGUGAUGAAGGCCUUAGGGUUGUAAAGCUCUUUUACCCGGGAUGAUAAUGACAGUACCGGGAGAAUAAGCUCCGGCUAACUCCGUG
rnacentral:rRNA from 1 species